rnacentral:rRNA from 1 species
UGGGGAAUUUUGCACAAUGGGGGAAACCCUGAUGCAGCGACGCCGCGUGAUUUAGAAGGCCUUCGGGUUGUAAAAAUCUUUUUUACGGGAUGAAAAUGACAGUACCGUAAGAAUAAGGUCCGGCUAAAUACGUGCCAGCAGCCGCGGUAAUACGUAUGGACCGAGCGUUGUCCGGAAUCAUUGGGCGUAAAGGGUACGUAGGCGGCCUAGUAAGUUAGAAGUGAAAUAAUAUAGCUCAACUAUAUAAAGCUUUUAAUACUGCUAGGCUUGAGAGAUGGAAGGGAAAGUGGAAUUCCUAGUGUAGCGGUGAAAUGCGCAGAUAUUAGGAAGAAUACCGGUGGCGAAGGCGACUUUCUGGUCAUCAUCUGACGCUGAGGUACGAAAGCGUGGGUAGCAAACAGG